rnacentral:piRNA from 1 species
UGAAGAAAAUGUCCCUCCUCCUUCUGGCA